UUAUGUAUUAACCGAUUUCGAUACAUAACUUGCAUUUUUUUACUUUCGCUUCCCGUUUGGGAACCGAAAAUACAAUUUUCGUAGUUCGUGAAAAAAAUAAAUCGAUCCAG